AUUGAACGCUGGCGGCAGGCCUAACACAUGCAAGUCGAGCGAGCGGCGGACGGGUGAGGAAUGUCUGGGAAACUGCCUGAUGGAGGGGGAUAACUACAGGAAACGGUAGCUAAUAACGUAUACGAUCAGAUGUGCCCAGAUGUGAUUAGCUAGUAGGUGGGGUAACGGCUCACCUAGGCGACGAUCCCUAGCUGGUCUGAGAGGAUGACCAGCCCCACUGGAACUGAGACACGGUCCAGACUCCUACGGGAGGCAGCAGUGGUGAAUAUUGCACAAUGGGCGCAAGCCUGAUGCAGCCAGGCCGCGUGUGUGAAGACGGCCUUCGGGUUGUAAAGCACUUUCAGCGGGGAGGCGUUACCCGCAGAAGAAGCACCGGCUAACUCCGUGCCAGCAGCCGCGGUAAUUC
rnacentral:rRNA from 1 species